rnacentral:rRNA from 1 species
UACGUAGGGUGCAAGCGUUGUCCGGAAUUAUUGGGCGUAAAGAGCUCGUAGGCGGUUUGUUGCGUCGGCUGUGAAAACCUGAGGCUCAACCUCAGGCCUGCAGUCGAUACGAGCAGACUAGAGUGUUGCAGGGGAGACUGGAAUUCCUGGUGUAGCGGUGAAAUGCGCAGAUAUCAGGAGGAACACCGGUGGCGAAGGCGGGUCUCUGGGCAACAACUGACGCUGAGGAGCGAAAGCGUGGGGAG